rnacentral:rRNA from 1 species
GACGAACGCUGGCGGCGUGCCUAAUAUAUGCAAGUCGAGCGAAUCUUGAGGUGCUUGCACCUCUUGGUUAGCGGCGGACGGGUGAGUAACACGUGGGCAACCUGCCUGUAAGACUGGGAUAAAUUCGGGAAACCGGAGCUAAUACCGGAUCAUCCUUUUACUCUCAUGAGGACAAGCUGAAAGUCGGUUUUUCGCUGCCACUUACAGAUGGGCCCGGGGCGCAUUAGCUAGUUGGUGAGGUAACGGCUCACCAAGGCGACGAUGCGUAGCCGACCUGAGAGGGUGAUCGGCCACACUGGGACUGAGACACGGCCCAGACUCCUACGGGAGGCAGCAGUAGGGAAUCUUCCGCAAUGGACGAAAGUCUGACGGAGCAACGCCGCGUGAGCGAUGAAGGCCUUCGGGUCGUAAAGCUCUGUUGUUAGGGAAGAACAAGUAUCGGAGUAACUGCCGGUACCUUGACGGUACCUAACCAGAAAGCCACGGCUAACUACGUGCCAGCCGCCGCGGUAAGAC